rnacentral:rRNA from 1 species
AGAGUUUGAUCCUGGCUCAGGACGAACGCUGGCGGUGCGCCUUAUGCAUGCAAGUCGAGCGAAGCUUUUCAGUAGUUUACUACAGAAAAUGACUGAGCGGCGAACGGGUGAGUAACGCGUGAGCAAUCUACCUUAGUUACAGGGAUAGCCCGAGGAAACUCGGAUUAAUACCUGAUAUUCUUUAAAUUUCGCAUGAAAUUAAAAGGAAAGGUCAGCCGAACUAAGAUGAGCUCGCGUUCUAUCAGCUAGUUGGUGAGGUAAAAGCUCACCAAGGCAACGACGGAUAGCUGGUCUGAGAGGACGAUCAGCCACACUGGGACUGAGACACGGCCCAGACUCCUACGGGAGGCUGCAGCAGGGAAUAUUGCGCAAUGAGCGAAAGCUUGACGCAGCGACACCGCGUGUGGGAUGACGGAUCUAGGUUUGUAAACCACUUUCAGGAGGGAAGAAAAUGACGGUACCUCCACAAGAAGCCCCGGCCAACUACGUGCCAGCAGCCGCGGUAAUACGUAGGGGGCGAGCGUUGUCCGGAUUUAUUGGGCGUAAAGAGCUCGUAGGCGGUUCAACAAGUCGGUCGUAAAAGUUCAGGGCUCAACCCUGAAAUGUCGAUCGAUACUGUUGUGACUAGGAUACGGUAGAGGUGAGUGGAAUUCCGAGUGUAGCGGUGAAAUGCGUAGAUAUUCGGAGGAACACCAAUUGCGAAGGCAGCUCACUGGGCCGCUAUCGACGCUGAGGAGCGAAAGCUAGGGGAGCAAACAGGAUUAGAUACCCUGGUAGUCCUAGCUGUAAACGAUGGAUACUAGACGUAGGAACUGGAUUGACGGUUUCUGUGUCGUAGCUAACGCGUUAAGUAUCCCGCCUGGGGAGUACGGUCGCAAGACUAAAACUCAAAGGAAUUGACGGGACCCCGCACAAGCGGCGGAGCAUGCGGCUUAAUUCGAUGAUACCCGUAGAACCUUACCUGGACUUGACAUAUAGGGUCAAGCUAUAGAGAUAUAGUGUGCAUUAGCGCCCUAUACAGGUGGUGCAUGGCUGUCGUCAGCUCGUGUCGUGAGAUGUUGGGUUAAGUCCCGCAACGAGCGCAACC